UGCCAGUAUAUUAACUAUAGGCUAUCUAACUACCCGUGUCAUAGGUUUAUUGACUUGAUUAUUCCCGUCAUUCUUUGUUUAGCUAAAUGUUAUMGUCGUUGUGCGUUCUCAAUGGAUAUUCGGGUGCUUUCGUAAAUUCGCUCUGGCUAUCUACUCCGAUUUCGCCUGAGGGUACGCGCGCUCAACACCGGUUGAAUAUGGCKKGUGUCAGUAAACGUCGGGGRAAAAAGCGUUAUUAAAUUGYUGCAAGCAGCACAUUCAGUCACCAACGCUCUGGAUAACAUGAAAWCUGCCUAACCAGCUGUGCUUGGGUCCUGAAGGACGCCUCACUGUCCUCAGAGCUGUUUGGCUUCUAUGAGAGGACCAUCUCUACCAGCACUCAUGGGUCACCCAAGGCCCAAAUCGCCCUGACAUGUUAGUUUGUCUUGUUUGUUCAAGCUUACCAGCGGUUUUCCUGUCAGCGCCUAUUGUUUCCAAGCCUUGCUUUGCUAGUCCUCCUGGUUUUGACCGAUGGCUGACCCUGCACCGUUGCUCCACCUCUGGAUUGCUGAACCCUGCCUGAGUCUGCCUGCCGUCCUGUACCGUCGCCUAACCCUUGAUUUUCGACCCCUUCCUGCCUUGACCUGUCUUUGCAUGCCUCUGUUUGCUACAGUAAACAGGGUUACUUCGACAGUCUGCAYCUGGGUCUUACCUUGAUUCUUGAUAAGCCUAUACUGUCAGAUCCAAAUCAUGUUUACAUAAAGCAACAUUACCAAAGAUGUCAACAUUCCAGACCUCCAGGACAUGUCCUCAGUUGAUCCAGAGAUGGAACCACUAUAUGGUUAAAUCAUGACUGGACCAAAGACUGGGGCAGCUACUGUAGCCUACRUAUACUGUGUGGAAGUGCUUCUAUUCUGAGUGGUAUAUGGUCAAACGGUAAUUCUGUGUGCUGAGUCUAUGCAUUGGAAUGUCUGCCUUAUUUGUUUAAUAAGAACAAUUAAACAAAUUCCAUGUUAUGAU